rnacentral:rRNA from 1 species
GAUGAACGCUGGCGGCAGGCUUAAUACAUGCAAGUUGAACGGUAACAUUUUGUAGCAAUACAGAGAUGACGAGUAGCGUACGGGUGCGUAACACGUGUGCAACCUACCUUAUACAGGAACAAAACGUUGAGAAAUUAGCGCUAAUAUUCCAUAAUAUUAUUGAUAGGCAUCUAUUUAUAAUUAAAGCUCAGGUGGUAUAAGAUGGGCACGCGUUCCAUUAGCUAGUUGGUAAGGUAACGGCUUACCAAGGCAACGAUAGAUAGGGGUUCUGAGAGGAUACACCCCACACUGGAACUGAGACACGGUCCAGACUCCUACGGGAGGCAGCAGUAAGGAAUAUUGGGCAAUGGAGGCAACUCUGACCCAGCCAUGCCGCGUGCAGGAAGACAGUCUUAUGGAUUGUAAACUGCUUUUAAAGGGAAUAAUUUCGAUUAUGUAUAGUUGAUUGCAGGUACCUAUAGAAUCAGCAUCGGCUAACUCCGUG